rnacentral:rRNA from 1 species
UACGUAGGGUGCAAGCGUUGUCCGGAAUUAUUGGGCGUAAAGAGCUCGUAGGCGGUCUGUCGCGUCUGCUGUGAAAACUCGGGGCUUAACCCCGGGCCUGCAGUGGGUACGGGCAGACUAGAGUGCGGUAGGGGAGACUGGAAUUCCUGGUGUAGCGGUGAAAUGCGCAGAUAUCAGGAGGAACACCGGUGGCGAAGGCGGGUCUCUGGGCAGUUACUGACACUGAGGAACGAAGGCCAGGGGAGCAAACGGG